CACGAACGCUGGCGGCAGGCUUAACACAUGCAAGUCGAGCGCCCCGCAAGGGGAGCGGCAGACGGGUGAGUAAUGCGUGGGAAUCUACCCAUCUCUACGGAAUAACGCAUGGACACGUGUGCUAAUACCGUAUACGUCCUUCGGGAGCAAGCAUUAUCGGAGCUGGAUGAGCCCGCGUUGGAUUAGCUAGUUGGUGGGGUAAAGGCCUACCAAUGCGACGAUCCAUAGCUGGUCUGCGAGGAUGAUCAGCCACACUGGGACUGAGACACGGCCCAGACCCCUACGGGAGGCAGCAGUGAGGAAUAUUGGACAAUGGGCGCAAGCCUGAUCCAGCCAUGCCGCGUGAGUGAUGAAGGCCCUAGGGUUGUAAAGCUCUUUCACCGGUGAAGAUAAUGACGGUAACCGGAGAAGAAGCCCCGGCUAACUUCGUGCCAGCAGCAGCCGCAGUAA
rnacentral:rRNA from 1 species